UCUGUCUCUCUCUCGGGGUCGGUCUCUACUCUCUUGGUCUUCACUCACUCUGUCCAUCGUGGUCUGCUCUGUCCGGGUCCCUUGGUCUCUUGUGUCAGAUUCUGGGUUUCCUGGACCCCAUGUUUUCCCCUUUUCUGAUUUACUCUGUUUUGGUGGCGCCUAUAGUCUAGUACUUCCCUGAGAGUCUUUGGAGGGAUUUUUUCUUUUUCUCUUUUUUUUUUUUUUUUUUUUUUGAGUUGCAGCAAUUCACCCAUCCAGUUGCCCAUUUGGUCUCCACUGGAUGUCUUUUAGACAUUUCGAAGAUAAUCCAUCCAGAUAGACACGGUGAUCAUGUCUCUCUCGAUACAAACGCUGCUGCCCUCACUUGUGACCUCAAUACCUGAGGAGUUGCUCUAGACUGAUCUGGAAGUGAUUUUAGAUUCUUCCUAUCAAAUAUAUGUAAACAUGGGCUCUGUUGACUGCUACCAACCUGGUCCAGGCCACCCGUAUGUUUGGCCUAGACUGUUGUAACUGUUGCCUCCUGUCCUGCCUCUUGGAAUCUGUUUCCACGCAUCAGAAAGUGAGAUCCUGAACCUUAAAAGGGAUGAUGCCUGACCCCAGCUUAAAAUUCUUCAGUGGGCUCUUACUGCCCUGGAAACAAAAUCUAUACUCCUUACCUUAGUCUGUGGGGCCUCUAGUGAUCUGACCUCUUCCUGUCUACCCUCAUCCUAUGUUCUUUCUUCAGUUUAGCUCAUUUCUUUAGAUGGCAGACUCUUCCUUGUUUCAAGGUGUUGCCUAUUUGGUUUCUACUGCCUGGAUUAAAAAGUCUUCCCCUGCUUAAGAACACAAAACCCCAGUAGUUGCUCGCUCCCAGUCCUUCAGAAGUUAGCGUUACCACAGUAUUCUCCCCCAGUCUCUGUGGUUCUCCAUACCAGGUCCUUGUUUUCUCCUGUUAAGGUACUUAAGUCCAUUUGUGGCUUUAUCUUGUAUCUUUUCCGGACUAGAUAUAAGGGCGGGGUCAUGCCUAUCUUACUCUGAUUCCCCGUGCCUAACACAGCACCCUGCCUGUUUUCCACACAGAAUGCGUGUUUGGGGAAAGGUGAAUGAAUACACAUGGUCCUUGUGCAAUAAGGUCAUCCUCUGAAACAGAGCCAUGUUUACUGUUUGCGGAUUUCAGUUUGUACUCGGCUCUGUUCCAGAUCUGUAUAGGGCAGUUUACAAUACAUAAAAUAUGAAGAGAGCAUCAAUUAAAAAGACCAAAAGAGGACUGGGACUGGAGAAACGGAGCCAGGAUUGACGGUAAGAAUGUCUACCGUACAGACAGACAGACCUGCUGUGGGUGGCCCAGCUGGCUCCCAGCGCCCCGGCAGCCGAUGAGAAACUGCUCCCCGAGUCCAUAUGGUCAAAACUGAACAAUGCCUGGGGGAGCUACAACUGGUCUUGAUAUGAAGACCAAAGAGAUUUCGCCCAAAGGUCACGGUGGAAAGAAUGGUACAUAACGUGAUGGAGCCUUCCCUAUAAUGGACGUGGUCAGUUGCACGGGAAUAACUCUCAACCAUGACCUUCAAGUGCAGACUCCCGCUGUCCAACCACGUCCGGUUUCCUUAAGGCCUGUUUCUGGGCCCCUGGGACGUUGCUCGGGCCAUACGUGCUGUGUGGUGACGUUCAUUGCUGCUGUGGUUGCUGCUGCCUGCUUCGAGAGAGGACCUAUGUGGGUGGGGACAGGGGUGUCCACUCCGGCUUUAACUAUCUGUAACUUCCUUUCUUUGUCCUAACCAGGCAUUACUGGCUCUUAGUAUGGCGUGCCUUCUCUUCCUGACUGGCUCCUGUUAAACAUCUUAGCGAUCCUGCUUUCCUCCCAGACUUUUCUUUUUCCAUCCAUCCCAUCUGUAGGUCUGGUAUAUACUUCCUCCAGCAGUGUCUCGUGGCUUAAACAGGUCUAGUCUCCAAGACAACACCGCGAGGAUGUUGUGAAUCUUCGUACUUGAAAAUGGCCAUCUGGAAAGCAAGGAGUCCGUCUCACUCCCGCAAAUGCCUGUACGACAUAGGCAGUCAGAAGCUUUGUAGAAGAGUAAAUGAAGUCUCUGAAUGUGGGAGCUGUCCACUUAAGCGAGGCUGCCCAGAGCAAAACUGCUCUGAGGAGUGGACGAUCUCCUACUUAGUUUUCUCCGAAGAUCGCUCAAAGUGAAACCAGCCACUGAACAUUCCAGUCGCUACUAUGAAAAGUAAGCCGAGUCCAUAGAUCUUAUCGCAUCGUGGGUAGGCUACAGACCUCUCCCUCGGGAUCAGCUCUAAUACCGAAAUGCAGUAUAACGCGACAGAUGACCGAACGCCGUUUUGCUGCACGGGCUGCCGCUGUUUGUAAUGAAGCUUUCCUUACCGGGACCGCGAAGUGUCCAUAGCCACAAAAGCUGGUGCCACUUGGUCUGGUCAGCUGACUGGUUCUGGGUUCUUUCCUUCAACAUUCUUCUAAUCCAAGUUGCGACUUAACGUUGGGGGUCGUGUUCGCGAUUUCCGUUUUGUGCCUGACGAGAAGCCACGGAUGAAGAAGAUAGGAAUGUGUACAAGGGCGUGCAAGUGACCGUCUUGGUGGAGAUGGUAUGUGACAGGCCUUGUGAGCUAAAACCUGGAUGUGAUUAAAUGCUUGGAUUUGCUCAGGGAUGUUGAGGUUUUAGAGCCAUAAGCUGUUGUUACUUAUUAAAUUCUUGCGGAAAAUAAACUGUUGUUGUAAAUCUGAACCUUUGGAGAUCCUAACCCCCUCUUCCCAGCGGAACAGUUUUUCCCGUUCACAACACAAUUGUUGAUUAUACAAGAUUUCUUAAGAAUGCGAAUAUUGUGUAACAGAAGAGAUUGUGUUUAAUUUUCUGGACGUUGCCAAAUAUGCUCUUCACAUUAAUUUUGGUUGUAUCCAGAAAUAUUGACUUCGCUUUUAAUAAUCAUAAGAUGCAUUGCACACCUCCCGUGUCCCAGGCACUGCCUUAGGCUCUAUACGUGAUUUUCUUGAACUCUUUCGGCAACCUUAUGGCAAUUUUUGUUCUUCACAAAUGAGAUGAAUUAAGGCUUAGGACUGUCGAGCAACUUAAUGUCCUUGAGCUUGUGACAGACCCAUGGUGGAGCAGGGUUUCCAGUUGUGAUUAUUCUUACUCCUUUCUUUCCACAGAAUUUUCUUCCGUCCUCUUUUGCAGCAUAACUAACCACCUUACAUCUUGGUGACCCAAAGCCAGGAUUUUCUUGCUCCUGGUUCUCUGGGUUUGCAUUUGGGGCAGGGCUCAUCAAGGAUGGUGUUGGCUGGAGGAAGCAAGGUGGCCUCUGUCAUGUGUUGGGGGCCUUGGUGCUGGCUGCCAGCUGGAAGGCCUCCGUUCUCUAAGUGACCUCCCUACCUGUUCCUUGAGUCAGUAGUCUGGGCAGGGCCUCUCUUCAUGGUGGUCUGAGCGUUCGAGGAGCACAGAGAUGGAAACUGUCUGAGAUGGAAGCUUUUAAGGUCUAAAUUACUCAAGACUGGAACCAGUGUAGGUCACUUUGCUGUAUAUUGAUUGUGUGUGUGUGUGUGUAUUUUUAAUUUUUAGAGCACGAGAACACGAGUGGGGGAAAGAGGGGCAGAGUGUGUGUGUGUGUGUGUGUGUGUGUGUGUGUAUCUUAAGCAGGUUCCAUGCUCAGCACAGAGCCCCGUCCUACAACCCUGGAAUCAUGACUUGAGCGGAAAUCAAGAGUAGGACUCAACCAACUGAGCCAACCAGGCACCUGUUGUGUAUUUUUAAAAUUUUUUUUCUAAUUGCAGUGCAGUUAACCUGAAGUGUUAUUGGUUUCAGGUGUACAAUAUAGUGAUUCAGUUCUGUACAUUACUCCGUGCUCAUCAAGAUAAGUGUACUCUUAAUCUCCUUCACCUAUUCUAUGCAUCCCCCCAUCUCCCCUCUGCUAACCAUCUGUCCUUCUAGUUUGAGCCUCUUUGUUUUGUCUCCUUUUCCCCCCUGCUUGGUUCACUUGUUAAAUUCCACAUAUGAGUAAGAUCAUAUGGUGCUUGUGUUUCUCUGACUUAUUUUGCUUAGUGUUAUACUCUCUAGAUUCACUGAUGUUGCAAAUGGCGAGAUUUCAUUCUUUUUUGUGGCUGAGUAAUAGUCCGCACACACCACAUCUUCUUCACUUCUUCAUCUACGGAUGGACACUCAGGCUGUUUCCGUGAUUUAGUUAUAGCAAAUAGCAUUGCAAUAAACGUAAGGGUGCAUGCAUCUUUUCAAAUUAGUGUUGUAUCCUUUAGGUAAAUACCUCAUGUGCCAUUCCUGGAUCAUAGGGUAGUUCUGUUUCUAAUUUUUUGAGGAACCUUCCGACGGUCUUCCACAGUGCCUACGCCAGUUUGCAUUUCCACCAGUUGUGUGUGAAAGUUCCUUUUUCUCCACAUCUUCAAUACUUGAGUUUCUGAUCUUUGCCAUUCUGACAGGUGUGAGGUGAUCUCUCACUGUGGUUUUGAUCUCAUUUCCUGAUUGAUAGUGAGCAACUUCUCACGUGUCUGCUGGCCAUCUGUAGGUCUUUGGAGAAAUGUCUGUCUUCCCAAUUUUAAUGGAUUUUUUUUGUGGUGUUACAGAAGUUCUUCAUGUAUUGUGGGUACUAACCCCCUGUUGGAUGUGUCAUUUGCAAACAUCUUCUCCCAUUGCCUUUUAGUUGCGUCGUUUCCUUUGUUGUGCAGAAGCUUUUUAUUUUGAUGUAGUCCCAAUAGUUUAUUUUUGCUUUUGUUCGCCUUGGGAGACCUACCAGAGAGUUGUCAUGGCUGCUUUCAGAGAAAUUACUGCCUGUGCUCUCUUCUCAGACUUUUAUGGCUUUCAGUCUCACAUUUGUCUUUAAUCCGUUUUGAAUUUAUUUUUGCGUGUGGUGGAAGAAAGUGGUCCAGGGGCACCUGGGUGGCUCAGUUGGUUAAGUAUCUGACUCUUGAUUUCUGCUCACAUCACGAUCAGUCAGUUCAUGAGAUUGAGCCCCACGUCGGGCUCUGUGCUGACAGUGUGGAGGCUAUUUGGGAUUCUCUCUCUUUAACCCUUUUCUGUUCAUGCUCUUUCAAAAAAAAAAAAAAAUCCAGUUUCAUUCUUUUACACGUAGUCCAGUUUUCCCUACACCAUUUGCCAAAGAGACCGUCUUUUUGUCCCUAUUGUAUAUUCUUCCUCCUUUGUUGAAGAUUAAAUGACCAUGUUGCAAAUUUACAUUGGAGUGCUCUAUUCUCCAUUGAUGUCUGUUUUUGUGCCAGUACAUACUAUUUUGAUUCGUACAGGUUUGUGAUCUAGCUUGAAAUCUGGAAUUGUUACCUCCGGUUUUUUUUCUUUUUCAAGAUUACUUUGGCUAUUCAGGGUCUUUUGUGGUUUCAUACAAAUUUUAGGAUUGUUCUAGUUCUGUGAAAAAUGUCGUGGGUACUUUGGUGGGGAUUGGAUUGACUCUGAAGAUUGCUUUGGGUAAUGUGGACACCUUAACAAUGUUUCUAAUGCUUGAGCAUGGAUUGUCUUUCCAUUUGUCUUCGAUUGCUUCAAUGUUGUAUAGUUUUCAGAGUACAGGCUUUCGCCUCCUUGGUUAAGUUUAUGUUUAGGUAUUUUUGGUGCAGUUGUAAAUGGGAUUGUUUUCCUAAUUUCUCUUUCUGCUGCUUCAUUAUUAGUGUAAAGAAAUGCAGAUUUCUGUACAUUGAUUUUUGUAUUCUGCACUCUUAAUUCAUUUAUCAGUUCUAGUUUGUGGAAUCUUGAGGGUUUUCUACUUAGAGUAUCCUGUCCUCUGCAAAUAGUGAAAGCUCCUUACCAGUUUGGAUGCCUUUUAUUCUUUUUUCUUGUCUGAUUGCUUUGGCUAAGAAUUUGGGUACUAUGUUGAAUAAAGGUGGUGAAAGUGGAAUCCUUGUCUUAUUCCUGACCUUAAGAAACAGCUGUUUUUCUACAGAGAGUAGGAUGUUAGCUGUGGGUUUUUCACAUAUGACCUUUAUUAUGUUGCAGUAUGUUUCCCCCAGACCUCCUUUUUUGUUUGGCUUUUAUCAUGAACGGAUGUUAUACUUUACAAAUGCUUUUCCUGCAUCUGUUGAAAUGAUCAUAAGGGUUUCAUUUUAUGUGAUGUAUCCCAUUGAUUUUGUGAAUAUUAAACCACCCUUGCAUUCCAGGAAUAAAUCCACUUGAUCAUGGUGAAUGAUAUUUUAAAUGUAUUGUUGGAUUUGGUUUGCUAACCUUCUGUUGAGGAUUUCUACAUCUAUAUUCAUCAGGUUUGUUUUUGUUUUGGGUAGUGUUUUUAUCGGGUUUGGUAUCAGGGUAAUGCUGGCCUCAUAGAAUGAAUUUGGAAGUUUGCUUUCUUCUUGUAUUGUUUUAGAAUCCUUUGAGAAGAAAUAGGUAUUAACUCUUCAAAAGUUUGGUAGAAUCUAUCUGUGAAGCCAUCUGGGCCUGGACUUUUGUUUUUGGGAGUUUGAUCACUGAUUGAAUUUCAUUGCUGGGAAUUGGUCAUUCAGAUUUUCUAUUUCUUCCUGAUUCAGUUUUGGGAGGUUGUAGAUUUUGUUGGUAUAUAAUUUUUCAUAACCUCUUACAAUCUUUUGUAUUUCUAUGGUGUCAGUUACCUCUCAUUUCUGAGUUUGAGGGUUUGUUGUCUGGGUUUGAGUCUGGCUUAAAGGUUUAUCAAUUUUAUUGGUCUUCUCAAAGAACCAGCUUCUGGUUUCAUUGACCUAUUGUUUAGUUUCUCUAUCAUUUAUUUCUGCUCUUAUACUGGCUUUGGGUUCUAUUUUUCUGGCUUCUUUAGGGGUGUGUAAGGUUAGGUUGAGAUUUUUCUUCUUGAGGUAGGCCUGCAUUGAUGUAAACUUCCCUCUUAGAACAGCUUUUCCUGCAUUCCAAAGACUUUGGACCAUUACAUUUUCUUUUGUCAUUUUUUCAUGGUUUUGUAUGUUGACCCAUUCAUUUAGUAGCAUGUUAUUUGACCUUCAUGUAUUUAUGCUCUUUCCAGAUACUUUCUGUGGUUGAUUUUUCUAGUUACAUAGCAUUGUAGUUGGAAAAGAUGCACGGUAGGACCUCAGUCUUUAAUUUGUUAGACUCGUUGGGGCUAAUAUGUGAUCUGUUCUGGAGAAUGUCCUGUGUGCACUUGAGAAGAAUGUAUAGGUGUGUGCUGUUUUUGUGGAUGGUAUGUUCUGAAUAUAUCUGGUAAAUCUCUCUUGUCCAAUGUGUCAUUCAAAGCCAAUGAUUCCUUGUGGAUUUUCUGUUUGGAUGAUCUGUCCAUUGAUGUAACCGGGGUUUUAAAGUCCCCUGCUCUUACCGUUUUAUUAGUUCCUUUAUAUUAUUUAAAAAAAUUUUUUUUAAUGUUUAUUUUUGAGAUCGAGAGAGAGCAUGAGCAGGGGGAGGGGCAGAGAGAGAGAGGGAGACACAGAAUCCGAAGCAGGCUCCAGGCUCUGAGCUGUCAGCACAGAGCCUGACACAGGGCUCGAACUCCUGGACCGUGAGAUCAUGACCUGAGCUGAAGUCCUUUGUAUUAUUUUUUCUGUAUUUGGGUGAUCCCGUGUUGGGUGCGUAAAUAUAACUGUUAAGUAAUCUUGUUGGAUUGUCCUUUUUAUUAUAGUGUCUUUUGUUAAGGUUUCUUUGUUUUGUGUUGGAGAGUGUGAGUGGGGGAGGGGCAGAGGCAGAGAAUCUUAAGCGGGUUCCACGCCCAGCGCGGAGCCCAACAUGGGGCUUGCUCUCACGACUGUGAGAUGAUGACCUGAGCUGAAACCCAGAGUUGGAUGCUUAACUGACCGAGCCACACGGGUGCCCUUUUUCAGAGUCGCUUUAAAGUCUUAUUUUGUGUGAUGCAAAUGCUACCCCAGCUUUCUUUUCACCUCUGUUUGCAUGAGAAACUUUCUUCAUCCCUUCACUUUCGGUCUGCAUGUGUCUCUAGGUCUGAAAUAAGUCUCUGGUAGGCAGCACAGAGUCUUGUUUUUUUUUACCCAUUCUGCCAUCCUGUGUCUUCACGGGUGUGUUUAGUCCAUUUACAUUCCAAAUAAUUGAUACGUACGUACCUACUGCCAUUUGUUACUUAUGGUUGUUUUUGUAGUUAUUACUUCGCUUGUUCUCUUUCAUAAGUUGGCUUUCUUUAGUGAUACUUAGAUUCCUUUAUUAUUGCUUAUCUAUUCCUGUCUUUCAACUUGUCGUUACCAUUAUGUUCGUAUAUAUAACCUCUUGUGCACCUAGCCAUCUAUAUUAAGUUGAGGGUCACUUUGAACUCAUUGUUUACUCUCUCCCACCACCCCCAUGUUUUAGGAAUAUGGUGUCCAAUUUUACAUCCUUUUCUGAGGCCCUCGACUGAUUUUUACACUUAGUUUACUGCUCUUAGGCUUCCUCUUUUCUUACUCCUGCUUAUGCUCUUUCCUUCCCCUCAGAAGCCCCUUGAACAUUUCUUGCAGGGCUGGUUUAGUGGUCGUGAACUGUUGAGAAACUCUUGCUCCUUCUGUCCUGAAUGAUAGCUUUGGAGGAUUCUUGGCUGCAGAUUUUUUUUUCCUGUUUAGCCCUUUGAAUCUAUCCUGCCACUCCCUUCUGGCCUGCAGACUUUGCUGAAAAAUCCACUGACGGCCUUAUGGGGUUUCCCUUCUAUGUAACGGUUUUCUUCUUGCUGCUUUCGCCAUUCUCUCUUUAUCCCUGCUUUCUUCCAUUUUAAUUACAACGUAUCCCAGUGUGGACCUCCCUGGGUUGAUUUGUUUUGAGGGCUCUCUGUGCCUCCUGGAUCUGGAUUUGUUUCCUUCCUCGGAUUCGAGAAAAUUUUCAGCUUGUUUCUUCAAAUAUUCUGCCUCCCUCUCUUGUCCUCCUGGGAUCCCUGUUGUUGAAUGUUGUUUUGCGUGAUGGUGCUACUGAGUUCACGAUUUUCAGUUUUUGUUUUUUUCUUUCCUAGUCAGCCUGAUUGCUUUCUAUUGCUUUUCUAGGUCACAGAUUUAUUCUUCCUCUAGUGUGCUGUUUAUUCCAUCUACUGUAAUUCAUCCACUGUGGUGUUCAUCUCUGAUUUUUUUUUUUCUCUUUAAGGGUCUUACUGAGGUCUUCUUUUCUCAAAUCCAGUGAGUAUCUUCAUGAUCACUUUUUUUAAAGUUUAUUUUUGAGAGAGAAAGCUUGUGCAGAGAAGGGGCAGAGAGAGGGGAGAUAGAGAAUCUCAAGCAGGGAUGUGGUGGUGGGGGGGAGGGGUGCUCAAUGUCGCGGGUGGGGGGAGAGGGCUUGAAUUCACGACCUGUGAGGUCAUGACCUGAGCUCAAAUCGAGAGUUGGAUGCUUAGCUGACUGAGCCACCCAGGUACCCGAUGAUCAUUACUUUAAACUCUUUUAUCAGGCAUAUUAUCCACAUUUGCUUAGGUUUCUUGCGAUUUUGUCCUGUUCUUUCAUUUGGGAGGUAUUCCUCGGUCUCCUCGUUUUGUCCGUUUGGAAAGUCCUCUAGGUCUCCUGCUCUUUGAAGAUCGUGGCCCUGCGAAGAAGGGGUCCCGUAGUGCCCUGCAGUGCAGUGGCCCCUGGUCACCAGAACUUGGCACUUCCCGGGUGUCUCCUACAUGGGGUGGCCGAGCCACUUUUCCCUUCAGUCCGGUUGUCCUGCAGUGGCGCCCUCUCCCUGUCGUGGGCAAGGCUUGGUCCCUGUAUCGUUAGCGGGCCAGUCUGGCGCUGUCUUCGGCUUGAGCCGAGUCAGACCCGGUAUUCCCUAGAGAUGCAGUAGCACCAGACCGUAAGGUGUCUUCCCUGUGUUGUAUCUGGGAAGCUUUGUUUGGUGGGCAGGGCUUGCGAUCACACCAGCUGCCUGUCCACAGCCCUCUGCUGGGGCCACAGUCUGAAUGGUGUGUGUGGUUAUCUUUCCCGCCCCCCCACGGCAGGAGUCACUUUGGAGUGGUGCUGGCUCCUGUUGGGGCUGCUUGAACAUGGCUGGGUGUGUGUGGUGUUGCUUGUUGGGUGGGUUUUGGCUAAGAGCACGUUGCAGGGGUUUUUACCCCGAGUGUAAUAAAGUGAAGUGGAGUGAGUGCUGGGACUGUGCCGGUUCCCGCAGGUGGGUGUGUGUUUGUGCUGGGGAGUGGGAGAGGGAAAUGGCACCUGCCAGUUCCUUCGGUCCUGGCAGUCUCUCCCGAUAGUCUCUGUCCCUCUGGGGUAAACUGCUCCCCCUCCUAUGUGCCCCGGGUGUUUUUCAAGCUGCUCCUUCGGGGCGUCUGGGUUGGCUUGGUUGGUCAAGUGAACGACUGCAGCUCAGGUCAUGAUCUUGCAGUCUGUGAGUUCGAGUCCCGCGUCAGGCUCUGUGCUGACAGCCCGGAGCCUGCUUCGGAUUCUGUGUCUCCCCCUCUCUCUGCCCCUCCCCUGCUCAUGCUUUGUGUCUCUCCAUCUCUCAAUAGUAAACAAACAGUUAAAAAAAAAAAAAAAAAAGUUAAAAAAUAAAAACCCCAAAACUCCUAUGCUGUCUCUGCCCAGGCUGUUUGUUCUGUCUCUUUCAGGAUGCGGACUCCAUUUCCUCUUGCCCUCCUGGCUCUCCCAGAGUCGAGCCUGCUGAUUUUUAAAAUUGCAAGUUUUAAGGCCUGGUUGUAAGAGCUCAAGAAAUUUGACUCCUCUGUUUUUCAAUGCCACAUGUGGGGUUCAUCUUCCCUGUGCGGGCCUCCCCAGUGUGAGCAUCUGUUUCUCUCCCUUCUUUGCACCUGUGGGUCUGUUUAGCUCCCAGCUCUUUUCCCUUCCUACCCUCUUCGAUGUGGCCUCUACCCUGCAUUCAGCUGUGGGGUUCGUUCUGCCAGCCCUCCGGUUGUUUUCUGGGUUAUUUACACUGUUCUGUUACCUUGUUGUAUCUGGGACGAGGUGGGCUUACGUAUUCGGCCAUCUUCCCUAGACGUCUCUGUGUGCUGUUGACCGAACCAAGUGACAGGGCCAGCCCAGAUUGUAGGGAGGUGGCCUGUGCAGAUGGAUGGGAGGGUUGUUGGAGGCGGUUCUUGCAGAGAAGCUUUGCUGUAGGUUCCUAACCACCAGCCCAUGGACCAGAAUCCUCCUUCUCUUGACGUCUUUUUUUCUGUUGACUUAGUCUCUCAUGUGGCUACUUCGACUUUCCAAACAGCUGCUCCAACCAUUUCUUUGCUCCAUUUUCUUUUCUCUAUUUCCGCACACGAUAGCCGUUUGGAGCUCUUGGCCUCAAGUUCUAGUUUGAUUAUGGCUGCAUUCAUGCACUUGCUUGUCUGUGUGAAUCAAGACUGUCCCAUGUCCACAGCUAAAGACCUUCCUGCUUGCUUUUCUCAUUCCUUUGAAGGCCAUGCACAUUUCACUCCUCUUGCUUGAUUUAUCGUGUUCUCUCCAAACUUAGCAUCCUGCCAGCCUUCUCCUUAUGGCCAGUGGAGCCAACACUUUCCUGGCUCCAUAAACCUAUCUUGGAGUGAGUAUUGAUCCCUCUCGUACCUCUCCCCCGUGCUCCUCUAAUCCACCAGAUAAGAACAGCCUUGACAUGCGUGUCUUCCGUCACCACUCAUGGUCAGGCUUCUGUCACCUCAUCUGUCACAGAACACAGCGUUCCAGCGAUCCUCCUCCCUCCUCCUCUCCCCCUGCUCCACUGUUCUUCCCGCAGCUGCUGCUCUUUGGAAAAUGCUAUUGAUGAGGCUACAUCCUGUCCCCUCCUUCCCACCAGUUACUUAUUGCUGGACCCUUGAACUGCUGUCUGUUGUUCUGGACCUUUCAGCUGCUGUUGUCUUCCCUCUCCCCCCAAACUCAGUAAAUACUUAGGUGAGAAUUUUCCCCUUUUGUAAUCAUUAAAGCCCAUUCAGCUGCUUUCUGUGGAACUCUGCUCAAGGCCAAAUUGUGGCGUAGCUUUGAACGUCUCGGGUUUAGGUUUUAUUUUGAAGAGUUUCCGAGAUCCUCUUUGUACCAUGGAGUUGACAGAAUUGAAGAUUCGGGGGUAGGGGGGUGCAUGGUAGCAAUAGAAUGUUUUGCUAAGGAAGAGACAGGUCUGCUCUGAGAUAGUGGCAUUCUGGAAAUGGAUACUUAGCUGGAGUUGUAGAAGACGGGGGUCGUGUGGUUGUGUAGGAUGCGAGCCAUCCACGCCUGUGUGUGUGACAAGGCAAGCCUUAAUUAUAAAGGAGGUGGAUAACCUCUCCGUCUUCAUACAUCUUCCCUUAGGAUCAUUCUUUCCAUUCUAAGCUCAUGUUUCCUCAUCUCAGGCCUAUCUGUAUUUCACUUUCUGGUGCUUUACCCCCCUUGAGGAAGAAAGAAUCCAUUAACACUUAUGUUGAUUGAAAAUGGCAGGGGACUGAAUGUGCCACCCUCCCCCUGUAAUUCAUAUGUUGUACUGAACCUUCAAUGUGAUAGUAUUAGGAGAUGAAGUCUUGGGGGAGGUGAUUAGGUCAUGAGAGUAGAACUCUCGUGUAUGGGAUUCAGGCCCUUGUUUAAAAACAAACAAAACUUGCUGCCAUGUGCUGACACAGCAAGAAGACGGCUGUCUGUGAACCAGGAAGCAGGCUCUCCUCAGACAUGGAGUCUGCUGGCACCCUGACCUUGGACUUCCUAGUCUCCAGAACCCCGACAAAUGAGUGUAUGCGGCUUAAGUCACCCAGUCUCUGGUAUUCUGGCAUAGCCGUCUGGACCAAGCAGUCAUUCCUAUGAAAGUGUCUGUUUCUUUAGUUGUGAGAUUAAAAAAAAAAAAAAACAAAAAACAAAAAAACCGGAAUACGGUCACCAAAAUGUGUAAUGCUUGUGGGUCUUGCCUUAAAAACUGGGGGAACCCUCCCGUCAACACGCACACAGGCCAUGCUUCUUAUCUCUGUCCUGUUUUCUUGCUACCUGGAGCACAGUCGUGGUGUGGGAGUGAAAAUAGAAACCCCUGAAAAGCAGGAAGCGGCAGCCCAGUAUCCUACUAGCCUGUGCUGCUUACGGACAUCAUAGCGGGAGAAGUCGAUCUUCGAGUCAUUGUUAGUGGACUUUGUAGCUGCCGAAUAGAUCAAGUUAAUGUCACGUCAAGACUCCUACGUGUUGGGUGCCUGUUCCACGCUCUGCUGGGUGCCUUUUACACGACGGCCUCAUGAGGCGGCCAGUUCUCACGUCUUUGACCCAGGCAGACAGGCUGAACGUGGUUGAUAAACUUGCCUGAGAUCCCACAGCCUCGAGGUGGCCCUGCCUCUGGGCUUCCGUCCAGGUCAGCCUGACCCCGGGCUCAGGAGCUUCUCGUCGUACCAGCCUGACAACCCACGUCUGUGCAGAAGUUUGUGGACAGACAGGAGGAGCCCAAAGUGAUAACCGGGCAGGUCACUUCUGGCCCUUCGUGGAAUCUGCGGGAGAGGUCACGAGGUCACCUUGUGUGGCCUUGCUCCUGCCUCGGCCUGGAGGUCUGUGAGCCUCUGCUAGAGACCUGGCUUCGAAGGCAGCUUGCUCCUAGCAGCGGGGACGUGCCCGGGCCGCCACUGCUGUGCACGGGCCCUGAGGGGCGAUCGUCCCCCACCUCCCCUCCUGGACCCUGUCCUCCGAGCCACAGGACACCCCUUGUUACUGUAUCCUUCAGUGCUUAGGGUCCUGCCUCUGUCUCCUGUAGAUUUUUCAGGGGUCGAGGCAUGAAGGCAGCAGGCAGCUGUUGGUCAGAAACCCCACUUCUCGGGGGAACCUGCGAUGGUUAACGGAGGUCGGGUGCACCGGCCACAGGCAUCCCGUCUAGAUGGGACCUUGUUACUCAGGAGUGCGGUCCAAGGCCUCGGUCUUCAGUGUUGGCAACCAUUGUGUGGACGAUACUCUGCUGGAGAACAGUGACAGCCGGAAUAAGAUAAAUGCAGCUGGGAAACGGGGCUGCUGGCUCCUUCGUAUGUCACAUCCUGCACUGGUUUCCCCAAACGCUGUGCACAUCUUUGUGGCUAGCUGUGAAACAAGAUGUGCCUUCGGGAGGAAUACACGGGACCGUUCCUAAUCUGUCGGUGGUGAGCUUGCCUGAUGGAGGAGGACAAGGUGACUUGUAACUUCAUAGAUGUGCUUUCUAGCUUGGUUGUCACCUUCGGGAUGAUAGUAAACCCUCUCCAGUGGGUAGGACGUGGCAGCUUCCGCGGGCCCCGGGUACUUUGCGUGAUCACAGUUCCUGGCUCAGGCCACUGGGCUGGGUCUUCAAGCAGAAGGCCAUUUUCUCCUAGCUUGCACAGAAAGAGGGAACUUUCCCAGGAGGCCGUGAAAACAUGGGUGCUUGUGCUCUCUAAAGGGGUGAGCCUUGCAGGCUAGUUGGUAUCGUUUGCUCCCUGUUCCCUUGGCAUCACCCCCAGGUUUUCACUACUGCCUUCUGCACAUUGUAGCCUUCACAUGUUGGUGAACUUGGAUUGACUCCAGCCCCCCAUGGUGUCCUUACUCAGAGCCGUGUUCCUCAGCUGACAGUAAUAGCCAUAAAGCGGAUGUUCACUAGACCCAUUUGUCCUGUCUCCUGGUGAGCAGUACGCUUUUCAGCGGGAAACACUUAAGCGGCAAGAGCUUGGCCCGAAGGAUAUACAUGAACUCAGACCUAUAAACAUGACUGCCCUUGAGUGUAAUGCUCCCUGCCGUCUAGAGGUUUCCUUUUAUUUUGCCUUCAGAAGAAAAUCAGAUUUUCUUGUUGUCUACCCAUCGGGAAGUGAUAACAUCCAGAUAUUUCUAUGAGCUUGAGUUGUUUGCAGUUGGAUGUGUAAAAUGAGCAUAGCCAGAUAAAUGGUUAAAAUGAUGUGCUAUAUUCCUACUUCUUGAAGAAUUUUCAUAUGAGGUUGCUUCACCGGUAAGCCUAAUAAUGAUUAUUUGACACUUGGGAUAAAAAAAAAAAAUUUCCUGUGGGUUCCUUCUGUGAUUACAAGCCACCUAGUCUGGUGUUUUGGUUGCCAUUAACCGUUAGGAGCCUUUCGUGCUAAUAAACUGAGAAGUCCACACGUGUUCUGUGCCGUAACCAGUAAAAUCAGGUUUAAAGUGCUGAGAUUGGGAGGAUCUUCUGUCUCUCUUGAAGAUCGUUAUUGGUUACAAAGUAGGGAUUUUUGCCUGGGUCCUUACGAGUGAGCUUCCGUGUGGGAAGGUGCACCCUCGUUGACGGGGCAAAUGGUUGCAUGCGCGUGGAGGGGAGAAUGUCGGCUAAUACAUACAACCACAUCGGCUUUGUAGGAUUUCUCCCAUCAAAUCGUGAGAAAACUGCAGUGGGAUCUAUUUGAAGUCCUGGCUAACUUUAGCUACUGGACUUGUGUAAGUAAAUGUAAUCCCCGAGAGAGGAAGCCAGUGGGAGGGUAUUUAAAAAAUCGGACUCUACUCUUGUUUCUUACCAGGCGUUUUCGCUUUGUUUCUGCCUCAGCCCACCUCUUUGGUACUGUGUUUCAGAUUUCUGGUGGGUAGCUCUUAAUUGGGAAGACGUACUUAAUCGGGGCGUCGUAGUUUAAGGGCCAGGGGUGGAGGUGGGUAGAGGAUUUCUGUUGAAGCCCCAUUUGGAGUGUGCCCGUCCUUUCUAGAGUUGUGUGUUUUUUGGGCAUGUCUUAGAGGAGGAGAGUUAAUGCUCUGGUUUGUGUUGUUUUUUUUUUUUCUUUUUUUUUUUAGAGACAAGCACGAGUGUGGGAGAGGGGGACACAGAAUUCGAAUCAGGGUCCAGGCUCCAUAUUGUCAGCACAGAGCCUGACUUGGGGCUCGAACUCAUAAACUGAGAUCAUAACCUGAGCUGAAGUCAGAUGCUUAACCGACAGAGCCACCCAGGCGCCCCAGUGCUCUGGGUUCUAAUGGGGAGUCUCUCCUUUGAGUCUGCAGCCCCAUCACCAACCAGAGCUAUCUCCUCUGUUUAUCCUCACCCGCCAGAUAGAUGCACGUGGAUGGUUCUUUUCUUUCUCCAAACCUCUGGUGGCACAACGGCCCUUCUCUGGGCGGGGGGGGGGGCCUGAAGGCUCAGCACACACAGUGCGUGCAAAAACAGAGCUCCUUUUCCCAGCCUAGGGUUCUAGACUUGGCUUACGGUUUUCAGCACCAACCUCCCGGUGUCCCAGACUGCGGUCACGGGAGUUACCCGUUUUUCUCUGCCUUUCAAAAAUCCUCUAGGCUCACUCAGUUGAUACUAAAGCCUCCAUCUCAUGAGUGUCUCACAAGAGAUCUCUGUCCAUCUCCAGUGUUCCUGAGCUCAUCGUCUCUUGCCUUAAAUAUGGUCUGCUGGCCUCAGCCUCUGAAUGGUCUUCCUCCUGAUUUUCUCCUGUGCUGCCGCGUCCUCCUGUGUUGAGGCCGCCAGUCUGAAGUCCCCCCAGCUCUGCCUGGCUUUGCCUGGAGACCGCCUCUUAGCUUGGCCAAUCCAGCUGUGCCAGCCUAUAACCCUGUCUCCUCCCCCUCCCCCUUCUCGAGUCCCAGCCUCACUGAACCCUGCCACAGCUGCGAAGAUGGGUCAUCCACAUCGGGACACUCGAGAACGAAAAGGCUAUUAAUAAUUAUUCCGAUAUCCUAGGCAAGCAUGGAGACUUUUCCCGGCAAAUCAGGACAUCCGUUCACUCGGUUGCCUCUUCCCUUGGGAUCCCCCUCCCCACUCAGCCAGCAGAUUCCCCGUCCUUCAAACUCGGCUUAGAUAUUACCUGCUCGGUACAUCCCUCUGUAACCAGAGACGAACACUAGUUUUGUCUUUCGGGCUUGGUGUUGCUUUUUCAUGCUGUUCUUAAGUAAAGCAUGUGUAUGCUGUGUCCCACAGAGCGUCUCUCCCCAGUCCCGGUGACGGUGGGCUCCGUGACCAACAGAAAGAACGCUGUUUCUCCUCCUCUGUGGCCCUAGCAUCGUGCCUGGUGCCUGGCACUUGGGCAAUAGUAAAUCUGUUGAAUUUAAAAACAUUUUUAAAAAAAUGAAGUACGUUGAACUUGGGAGCCAGGUUUCCUUCUGUUGGAUACUUGAGUAUCACGUGACCUGAUGUAAUUAUACCCAAGCUUGCCUCUAGGCUUUUACAUGUGUCCUGCCUUCUAGCCUCCAACCUGGGCUUUGGUACUUAUUGUCCUGAUCUUCCUGAACCUACUGUGGUAUUAUGGUCUCCCUUUUACAUAUCUCCUUAUCUUCGACAUCACGCAGUUCUCACACUUCGUAAAUUCUGUAUCUCGGGCGACUGUUAUGUUAGUUCAUUCCCCUCCUCCUCCCCAACUAGACUUUUAGAGUGAGAAAUGCCGUCUGUCUGUCCGUCCUGGCCACCUUCCUAGCACAGUGGCUGGCAUUUAGGAGGCAGUCAACAUUUAGGGAGUGGGGAUGGGGCUAGUUCUCGUUAUUUGUGGAUGACGCAUUGGCAGAUUUACCGGCUUGCUAACAUUUAUUUGUCAUUCUCCCAAAUCCAUGCUCGUGGGGGCUUCAGUGGUCAUUCAGAGACACAUGCAAAGUAGUGAGAACUUUGUCUUGAUGUGCACAUUCCCAGCUGAGGGUGAACAAGGUGACAGUCUGGCGCCUUUUGACACUCCUCCCGUAAACAGGUAUCCUUUUUUUGUGGUCUUAGUGCCAGGUUUUCCAUAUUUGUGUGUUUUGUUGGUGACUCCACUGUUUGAAAUGGACCCCAAGGAUAGUGCCACAGUGCUGUCUUGUUUCAUGGCCCAGGAGGCUGUGGUGUGCCUUACAGAGAAGACCUAAGCCUUAGGGAAGCCUUGUUCAGGCAUGAGUUAGUGCGUGCUGUUGGUUGUGGCUCCAUUGUUCAUGAGUCAACAAUAUUAAAUAAGAUGCCUUUCAACAGGAACAUAAAACGAGAUUAGCCAUCAGUUGACAAAAAUGUUGUGACCAGAGUCUUGCAGGAACCUAAUGCUGUAUUUCCCCCCGUAGCAGUUUAUUUGCAAAUUUAGUGUUUGUGGCAACCUUCCAGACCGUAACUACGGUAAAUAAUGAAAGCUGGGAGCCCCAUUUUUCAGGGAAGUUACAGCUCUGAGAAUUUCAGUGUCUUGCAUCGAAGCAAAUCGCUAGUGAGUACAAGACCUGAAGCUUUCACUCCUCCAAUAAAUAUCUAUUGAGCCACUGCUGAGUCAGGCACUGUGUACGUUUGACCCUCGAGAUCCUUCACCCCCGAAACAAAUGGAUGUGAACAGAGUUUCCUGACUUUUUCAGUAAACUAUUAUAAACAACAACAAACAAACAAACAAAAAAAAAACUCAGUCACACAAAUCACCAAACUCCUUUGAGCUAGACCAAAAAUAUUUACUCUGUGUUUUUGGUCUCCAAUCUGCAGGUCCAUAGAGACGCCUGUUAGAUGGCCGAGUUGUUUUUUCAAGUUGCAACAUGUUCCGGAUGAAUUCCACGAUGGGAGAGUAUGUUAGCAGUAUAUUGUCAGAACAUCUCCGGGGAAAAUGGCUUUGGUGAAGGGGGGGAAAAAAUUCACGUUAAAAAAAAAAAAAUACCCCAUUUCAUGAUCAAGUCAUCAAGGGAGGAAAUAGUUUACAAAGAUGUAUUUAUUUCUGUAUUUCCCCUUAGUCUGCCAGGUAUUGAGAUGUCUCAGCAAAAGGCAUUUGUCAAUCCGUGGUUAGCCUCUUGGCCACGGGAUUGUGAAGUUAUUCUAACGAGAGACCAGUUCCAGCUGAUGAUGUCCCAGAGUCCAAUUUUCUAGGCUUUUCAGGAGGGUUUUUUGGAUUACUUCGUAUCAUUUUUGAAAAAACCGAUUAGGUUGAGUGCUCUUAUUCAUAGAGGCAGGAAAUGGGGGACGGAGUCUUUGACUUAAGAGGACAGUACUGUGGUCUCUACCCUCUGCACAGACAUCUCCAGGAUAUUGCAGGGGCAAUACUCUGAAGAGUAAUUUCACUAUUUGGGAAUUGGAGCGCGGUCACUGAGAAUGUUAAACUUCUAUUUUCCUUAGGAAAAAAAAAAAAAGACUAAAAUGUGAAGAUUCAGGCUCUGUAAGCAGUCUGUCUAAAGGGCACUUUUUUUUCCCUCCUGUGUUGGACUGAAUGAUCAUAUGCUCACCUACUUAGGUUUCUACUUCUGGGGUCUGUGAAGAGGUUCAUGUUUCCAGGCAGGGCUACCGUUAGGGUGUAGCGUGCUUUGGCUUGAAUCGGGAAAAGGCAUCUCUGGAGCUCUAGGCUGAUUGACCGGGGGUGCAGGCUGGAUUUUGGCCCUGAUUGGCUCCCCCACGCUGGGCGCCCACGUGCAGGGCAGAGCUGUACCGCUGUACAGAGAGGUCCUGAGUCCUGGAGAGGCCACCGAAGUGGACAUAUGGAGAAUAAUCAUGGGCUCGUGAGAAACUCGGACGUUGUCUAUCGCCGGCCGAGGAGGUAGCUAAAGAGGACGAUGUUCCACGGGGACGGUACCGGGGCUAAAGGGACUCUGUGUCCACAGGGACUUAGGACUGGAAAGAUGUCUGCACUCUGGUUUCAUCUCCACAACCUCUCAUUUUACAAGUGAGCAAACCGUCUAGGAGACUUUCAUCUGGGUGUUUGAUCGUGUGGCCCCUUGCUGGCGGUGGGGAGAGUUUUGUGCUUUGGUCCCCUCAGAAGGGACCUCUGCGUGUCUAUAACACAGCCACAUGUCAGUGGGCGCUGUGGCCGGGCCCCGCCAUGGUUCCUGGGAUCCCGGGUCUCCGGAGAUCCUGACCUUGUGGUCAGGCACAUCCCUAGCGUGGAACUGCUUUCUGGCGACAUACUAGAUGUGAUGGAUUUUGUCUCCUGUCCUUUCUUUCUUUCAUUUUGGCAUGCAAUAAAUAGUAGUUGCUAAAAGUACAACCAAAUUGUCGAAGCUCUUUGAUAUGCUGGGACUAAUUUCUGCCUUCCCACCUCCCCAUUUUUAAAUUAAAUUUUAUUUAGGUGCUGGAGAGAAAGUCAUACUUUCAAGAACCAGCUGGUUAUUCGAAAGCCCUGGGAGAAAUCUGUGUUAGAUUUAACGGUGUCUGUACUGGCUUCUCCUAUUCAAAAUUGGCUCCUGUUUAAAAGAACACCGUUUUUGAAAAAACUUAACAUGUUAAGAGUAUUUACGGAAUGUGCUCCAGCUUCAGUGUGGGAGGCCCCAUUUCCUUAUAGAAUUUCCGCGGUAACCGAAUGCUCAGUGUUUACAUGGAACCUUUCUCCAAGGAGAUCAGAGGACUGGGAGUUCUUAUUUCCUGCCCCCCAGCCCAGCUCUGUAAUGUGCGUGGAAGCCAUGCAGAGGAGCGUGUAGCAUGUGCUGGCUCAGCUUGCUUUCUUUUUCCAUUUUUGAAAGAUGAUUACUUGUGGCAUCGUAGGCAUUGAUCUGGGUGCGGCUGGAAAGAUAAAUUGGCUGAGCCUUUUUGAUGAUACAGUGUUGAGCAUCACACCUUUUUUUUUUUUUUUUUAAUGUUUUUGAGAGAGCGCAUAUGGGGAGGGGAGGGCCAGAGAGAGAGGGAGACACAGAACCCGAGGCAGGCUCUGAGCUGUUGGCCUGUGGAGCCUGACGCAAGGCUCGAACCCUUGAACCCCGUGAGAUCGUGACCUGAGCUGAAGUCGAAUGCUUAACCGACUGAGCCACCCAGGUGCCCCUCUUCAUCACUUUUUUUAAUUACAAUUUUAUGACCGAUCAUGUUAAGCCUGUAGAUUGGUGUCAUCAACAGUCUUGAAACCCAGAUAACCCGAAGGGUCCAUGAAGAACAUCCUUUUUGUUACGGAGGAUCUGAGUUUGGUGUCCCUUGUGUGGAAGGACAAUUGCUGUGCGGUGCCCUGCCCCACUCGGGUUGGAUGUGAAUGAAGGAAUUGAAGGAAUAGCCUUUGUCUUGGGGUCUCUGUUUCUCCCUUUUAAUGCUGCUCCAUUCUUGGUGUUCCUUGGCUGCUCACUCCUCACUGCAGAGCUUCCUCCCCCCUGUUCCAGGUGUCCCUUGAACUCCCUCCUGUCUUAGGUCUUGUUCCCUGCAAGCUUUGCUGAGUAGCUCGGCUAGAUCUGAACCACUUGGUGUAGCUGUGAUCGUAUGGUGGUCAGUCCUCUGCGAUGUGAACCACUUGGUGUUGCGACACAGAUAAGUGGUUCGCGGCUUUCGACAACAUCUACGCAGGACUGCUAGAGAUAACGGGACCAAGGAAAUGAGAGGCUCGAGGUGGACUUUCAGGCUGUGAAAGACCAGGAGUGGAGACAUUUGGGGGGCCUGGCCUGUCCCUGACCCUAGGGUAUACUCCGUGAAGCCUGUGAACCACGUCAGACCCUAGAUGACUCCCCUUCCCAGCUGUCACGGUUUCUUGUCCCUUUCAGGGUUUCUGGGCUUGACUAAUGGCAAAUUACAGUGGCCUCCCGGUGUGAAGCACCCAGACGAUAGAGGCUUUGGGCCCCCCCCCCCACACUCCCAACUGAGACUUGGUGAUGGUAUAAAGGAAUGCUGAACCCCUAGUAGUUUCUGUAGUAGAGGAAGCCUGUGAAAUUAGCAUUUGGUAUCUAGGAAACUUUAUGCUUCAGACCAAAUAAUAAGCCUUGUGUUUACAACUCCAUCACUGAAAAUGCCGACCUCUUAAAAUAUAUUAGUUAGCCAGACAAUUGCCCCGCUAGAUACACAUGCGAAUAAUUAGGCCCAGAUGCCAUUCCUGACCACCAGGAACAAAAACUAAUGGCCUGGAAUUCAUGUCCUCUGAGCAGAGUCCUUAAAUUCUCCCUUUGUACAACUAAUUUAAAGCCAUGGCUCACUGGAAGGUAAAUUAACCUCCUUUCCUAUACUGCAGACCAGCAAUUACCAAACACCCGAGAAAAUAAUUUAGUGUCGAAGUCGCUGCUCUCCCAAGAUUUAAUAGAACUUAAAAGACUCCUUCAGACAUUCGACAGUUAAAUGAGCCACAGCCAUGAAUGCUUUGUAGGUUUUUAAAAAAUUCUGUUUAAAAAUAGUACAAAAUAUAAUUGGCUUGCUUUUUUUUUCAUGAAGUAGGAGAAGAACAUUUCGGUGAACUCUUGUGCCCCCUUGAGAUCCUGCCCCGUCCUGUUGAGACGAACACUCUUUCACUUGACACGGACCUACUUCUGGGAAAUCUGAUUAUAAAAUUAUAGUGUGCAAGUUCACUUCUGUGGGGAUGGUCCUCCGGGUUUUUGUUUUGUUUUUUUUUUUUUUUUUUUUUUUUUUAAAGACUCCAAAGCAGAAAUUAUAUUUAGGAUACCUCGUUGUCCCUGCCUUUUCCUCCAGCCGCCCUCUUGUGUUCUGUAAUCCUGGGCACCACAUUCAAAGUAGAGUCAACAUUUGGAAUAAAUCACCGGACCAGAUUGCUUACAGGUUUGUGAAAAUAUCCCAGACUUGCUAUAUCAGGCUUCAUAAAAAAAAAAAAAAAAAAAAAGUGAACAUGGGUUCUUUGCUUUCUGAGUGAUAGUGUGUGUAUUUGGUGUAUUCACAUGGGGCUUUAAUGUCUGAUGGCUGAGUGGCAGUCCUGAAGAGCCAUGCACAGUGGCCUCUUAUGAAGCCGGACUGUGGCCAACAGCUGUGGCCGGUGGGCUCCCUGCAGCCCGCCAGCCUUUCGUGGAUGUUUGGACUCCGAGGAAACCUGUUCUGUCCCGGGGCUGGCAACGGUUCAGCUGAUGAAUCUGGCUGCUGCAGGGUUUUGUAAAUAAAGUUUUACCGGGACAUAUCCAUACCUAUUUCUUUACAUGUUGUUUAUGGUUUCUUUCUUGCUACAAAGGCAGAAUUUGAGUAGUUGCGGGGGAGAGACCGUAUGGCUCAUAAAGCCUACAAGAUUUAGUAUCUGGCCCUUUACUGAGAAGUUGCCAAGAGACAUUAAAAAACAUAUUAGAUGUAGCAAGUCCUUGAAGCUGGUCUCCUUAUGGCAUUCGCCGCUUUUCUGCUCGGUGACUCUGUGUUCUCUUGAUUUUUCCCUCCAUUGCCAACUCCCGAUGGGUGAUUAGUCUUGUGGAGCAGCUGGGUGAUUGGGGGCUGGCUCUCCUACUGACCUGUGGUCACAGACUUUGCCCUUGGAUUUCUAUGUUGAAUGGAGCCCGUCAACGUUAGUCACAAACUAACCUCUAAGUGGGGCCCCUGGGUGGCUCAGUCGGUUAAGCGUCCGACUUCAGCUCAGGUCACGGAUCUCACGGUCCGUGAGUCCAUGAGUUCGAGCCCCGCGUCGGGCUCUGGGCUGAUGGCUCAGAGCCUGGAGCCUGCUUCCAAUUCUGUGUCUCCCUCUCUCUCUCUGCCCCUCCCCCGUUCAUGCUCUGUCUGUCUCAAAAAUAAACGUUUAAAAAAAAAAAAAAAAAAAAAAAACUUCUAAGAGUAUGAAAGUGAAUUUUAGAACCAGAGACCACACCUCAUGGUCAAGCUCCCUUUGUGUUUGGAUGACCAUGUCCAGAAUCCCAGAGUCUGAGGGACUGCCCAAGGUCCCAUGUCAUGGUGGUGGCCGUCACCAUCUACUCUGGGUCUCUCUGCCCUUGUUCCAGUUCCCUUCCUACCACCAUGUUGUUGCCACGCCCACACAGAACAUGUGCUGUGUGUCAUGUGAACAUUUUCUUCAUUUCUGCUGUAUGUGACUUUAUACCAAGUUGGCAAGAGAGCUGUGCUCAAAAAAAAAACAAAAAUCCUGUUAAUGCUGAAUGUAUGUAGUCUUUUCCUUCACUGUUGAUCAGGGCGGUACUCGGCCAAUAAACAGAAUGGAGCAUUUUUAAAUCUUUCGUCAGUAAUUAUAAUUCUAACUACUUUUUCCAGCCUAGUUUUAAACCAUUGAAUUGUGCCUCUUUCUCUCUUUGUACUAUUUUAGUGAUGCCGAACGCCUUCUGGCUACAUCUAUAACCUCUGGAAUCAGUAUCCUGUAUUAAUAUUUCUUAUGGAGCUGAUAUGUUUGCUUCUGUGUUGUAGGCAUGCAAGUUUUGUAAAUAACCUGGAAGUCCUCAAUCCACUUCUGAUAGGAUUCCCUAUUUUCUCCUCAGGAAGAUCCGUAUUAAAUCGAAUAGUAACUAAUACUUACUUUUGAUUUUGAAUGAAAGCGGUGCUAUGUAGAGUUUCAAAUUCUUGCACCCUUUGCUAUCCGCGUGGGAUCUUUUAUUCUGUUGGGAGUAUAAAGCGGCAUUGACGUUGAGAAUGAAUUUGGGGGCUUUAUGGGAAGACUUUGGGCAAUCUUAACUCCUCCAAGCUUUAGACUCCUUAUCCAUAAAGUAGAACUAAUGUGCUCAUAGGAAUGUUGUGAGAAAAAUGGCACAAUGAGUGAAAAGUAUAGCCCUGUGUUCACAGUGCUUAUACUCUGAAUGGAAGCCUUUAAAACUAUCAUUGGUUAAAAUGUUUUCUGUCUAGAUACAGCGAUGAGACUUCAAAUAUAUCAGUUUUGUUAAGCGGGUGGAUUAAAAAAAAAAAAAAAAAAAAGUGACCAGCUUGCAUUUCCCCUAAAUUGGGUAUGAAAAGUUUUGGUGUCUCCCUCCCUGACGGAGUGACCCUCAGCUGUGUUCAGGGUGUCUAUGAAAGGCCUAGACUGGUUCUUACUGGGCUCCUGGGGACAAGAGGGACGAUUGCCAACUCUGCGGGGAUUGUGGGGCAAGAACAAUGUCGUUCUUUGAGAGAGCUGGAGGAAAGGGGAAGACCGUGUUAGUGGGAACGUUUUGUCCAGGCUCAGGCCGCAAACCUACAUGAUUAUUUUUGUGGAAUGUUGGGGGGGGGGGGGGGCGGGGAGGGACUGAGAAGUGAAAUGGUUAGAACAGCCUGACCCCAUCUCCUUUUCAGAGUUUUCUAUAAAAGCACCUUUGCAGUGGGACUGUGUCAAACAAUAAUGGAACUGAAAUGCCUUCGGCGAGUGAAGAAAUGGCUUUCUCAGUUGGUUUCAAGUCCAAACGGGAGGGCAAUGGCAGCUGCCUCUGUUUCCUUUUUUUUUUUUUUAACCCUAUUGUCAAAAAAUAUUUUUAUGGACCUAAGCUUUGUUAAGGGCUAUAGCAUUUUAGUCUGGGCUAGAGAUUUCCCAUCUUAAAGUCAAAAGGAAGUCCAUUUGUGUGUGGUCCUUACUGAGCAUCAAAAGGAUGCCGAGCAAACCUAGUUAUCCAUCAGGCUGUCGUAACUUGUUCACCCAUCAGUGACAGAAGAGGGCGGAGUUUUCCUUGAUUCUUUGAUUCCGAGUUUGAGACUCCUGGGAGAAAGGCGUAUUCUAAAACGAUAGCCCUGGAUUCUCCCCCUUGUUUUCCCAAAGCUGACAUUUUCAUCAGUGACAGGAAAGAGGUCCUGUGUGUGGGUCUCGAGUCUGAAGGCACACGGCAACGUCACCAGCUGUGCGUGCCUCCUACCCACCUCCCUUUCUCCGAGGGUCUUGCCUAGGGGGG